GAGAGCUGUGGGGCGCUGUCCUUGGCUCCCAUGCACGUUGUGAGGAGCUGGUACCUGAAAUAUUUGGGUUUUAACAGGAAGGUGCAACUGAAAAGGAGGGAUCCUUUUACCUCAAUGUUAAUAUCUACCUUGAGAAAUGAACUAAGGAACUAACAUCUCUUGUAACUGAGGCCUGUUUGAUCAAGAGAAAAAAAUAAAAGCAGAGAAACCUCCAGAGAUUGUUACGGAUCCUGCUGGGGUUGUUUGGACAACUUUUUGAAAGUGAAGUAGCGCUCUUACGUACCUUCUACUACACCGCUUAGACAUGGUGCUUCCUGGCACUA